GACGAACGCUGGCGGCGUGCUUAACACAUGCAAGUCGAACGGAAAGGCCCUGCUUUUGUGGGGUGCUCGAGUGGCGAACGGGUGAGUAACACGUGAGUAACCUGCCCUUGACUUUGGGAUAACUUCAGGAAACUGGGGCUAAUACCGGAUAGGAGCUCCUGCUGCAUGGUGGGGGUUGGAAAGUUUCGGCGGUUGGGGAUGGACUCGCGGCUUAUCAGCUUGUUGGUGGGGUAGUGGCUUACCAAGGCUUUGACGGGUAGCCGGCCUGAGAGGGUGACCGGCCACAUUGGGACUGAGAUACGGCCCAGACUCCUACGGGAGGCAGCAGUGGGGAAUAUUGCACAAUGGGCGGAAGCCUGAUGCAGCAACGCCGCGUGCGGGAUGACGGCCUUCGGGCUGUAAACCGCUUUCGCCUGUGACGAAGCGUGAGUGACGGUAAUGGGUAAAGAAGCACCGGAUAACUACGUG
rnacentral:rRNA from 1 species